GGUUAUGUGGAGGCAGUGAGUUAUCUCAACUGAUUGUUCAGUGAAUUACAGAUUCAACUCCUCCUUCUAUUCUUUCCCUACUUCUCAAUACUGUACUUAACUAGUCCUUA
ensembl:misc_RNA Y_RNA Y RNA